rnacentral:ncRNA from 1 species
GUUUCGUGUCAACAGCAGUUGAACACGAGUUAGCCAAUCCUAAGCUCUAUGGGAAACCUGAUAUAUAUUAAGCAUUUAACCGAAUACAACAAUCAGUUGAUGCAACCGUCCUGAUAUAUAUUGAAUGAGCGAAAGGGAAUCCGGUUACAAUUCCGGAGCCUGUUGAGUAUACGUUUGCAUUGGCGUCCCAUACCGGCAACGGUAGCGCCUUUGUAAUCAUGGCAACAUGAAUCCUUUUCUUCAAGAAGCCAACAAGAGAUAUCGGAAGAGUUCUCUUUUCUGUUUUACAGUCACACUAGCCAUGGAAGUCUUUCAUAGAGAGAUAUGGUUGGACAGGCUGGUAGAGCAUGGUAUUAAAUUGCUGUGUCUGAAAGGCUUCUGGAAGAAUUCCUGGAGGAUAUUCCUAGGUAUCCCACGAAGAAUCAUUGUAGAGAUUUUGUUAAUGGAAUUUGUA